AUUAAAUGAGAGUUUGAUCCUGGCUCAGGACGAACGCUGGCGGCGUGCCUAAUACAUGCAAGUAGAACGCUGAAGACUUUAGCUUGCUAAAGUUGGAAGAGUUGCGAACGGGUGAGUAACGCGUAGGUAACCUGCCUACUAGCGGGGGAUAACUAUUGGAAACGAUAGCUAAUACCGCAUAACAGCAUUUAACCCAUGUUA
rnacentral:rRNA from 1 species